GAAAUGCGAUAAGUAAUGUGAAUUGCAGAAUUCCGUGAAUCAUCGAAUCUUUGAACGCACAUUGCGCCCUCUGGUAUUCCGGGGGGCAUGCCUGUCCGAGCCUCAUUGCGAACCCCUCAAGCACGGCUUGUGUGAUGGGCCCUCCCGCGUCUUGGUCGUCAAGACGGGCCCGAAAUGUAGUGGCGGCUUCGCGGUUAUCCGAUCAGCCAGAGCGUAUGGGGACUUUCUCUCUGUCACACGCCCGCGGCGCGGACCGACGCCUGUCGACCUUCAUUCAUCGUUUUCUCGGUUGACCUCGGAUCAGGUAGGGAUACCCGCUGAACUUAAGC
rnacentral:misc_RNA from 1 species